rnacentral:misc_RNA from 1 species
UCGUCAUCUCGCUUUCGGUUCCCUGUGUUGCAUACCUUCGCGACGGUAUCCUGUCGGCUAGAAUCGCCCCGUUUCACCCGACGUUGCGAGUAACAUCGCGACCGAAGGCGAACCGAAAAGCAUUCAUCGCGUUCCACCCCGUUCGCGUUACGCGCUGCGGGGACCGGCCCACGAUGACGUGCUCGAAUUCUCGGAUGCGGAACACAA